rnacentral:rRNA from 1 species
UACGUAGGGGGCGAGCGUUGUUCGGAUUUACUGGGCGUAAAGAGCGCGUAGGUGGUGCGAUAAGUCGGAGGUGAAAGCCCUCGGCUCAACCGAGGAUCCGCGUCCGAUACUGUCGGACUUGAGUGCAGGAGAGGAGAGCGGAAUUCCCAGUGUAGCGGUGAAAUGCGUAGAUAUUGGGAGGAACACCGGUGGCGAAGGCGGCUCUCUGGACUGCUACUGACACUGAGGCGCGAAAGCUAGGGGAGCAAACGGG